rnacentral:ncRNA from 3 species
GCGACCCAUACUUGGUUUCA